GAGGAAGAAGGGAGAGAGCUGGGGCUUAUGAAUGUGACAUAGCAUGUGGAUUCUCCCGGCUAGAGCCAUAUUUCUUGGGUUCACCGAUCACCAGGUGCCUUGGACACAGGCCAGCAGUGCGUGACGAAAGGCAUCUGCUCUUUCCUGCACUCCUCAGUGGAAAACAUGCACUCUUUAUAUGUGACUAUCCAGAACAUAAGCUCGGUCUGCAUUUUGGACUAGGACACACUGAUGAACACCUUUGUCGUUCUAUGGAGAGAGAAAACGGCUACAUUUCGGAAGUUGGUGGACAGUGUGUCUCAGAGGCCACUGGCUACUCAUCGCUGACACUGCAAGAAGGUUCCAAUGCCACUGUGAGCUGCUCCCUCGCCCUCCUGGUGUGCACCCGUGAACUAACUCUUAAGGGAACUCUGCGUUCAGAUCUCCCACCUCUAGCUACGCCGCUCAGGAUGCAUCACAGUCGCCCUCUCCUGAGCAUCCAAUUUCUCACCUACCACUGACAAAGCACUCCAGGAAUCCUGCCCCCAAGAUGCCAGCCUUUACAUCAUCUAUGCACAGCCCCAUGACCCCAUGAGUAAGCUCCACACUAAGAAGAACUACAUUCCAGCCCCUGCCACCUUGCAGGUUAACUGUGCAGCCUCACAUGUGUUACUGACCUCUCUGAUCUUCAGUUUCGAUUUAUGAAAAGCAGACAAUAAUAAUGCCUCUGCUUUUAUUUUUAAGAAGAUCAAAUAAAAUAAUAAGUAAACACAUAUCUCUAAAACUAUAAAACUUUAUGUUUCUUUGAGAGAAUAUUAUACCUAGUAAUUAAAGUAGUAACA